GAUGAACGCUGGCGGCGUGCCUAAUACAUGCAAGUCGAGCGAACAGACGAGGAGCUUGCUCCUCUGACGUUAGCGGCGGACGGGUGAGUAACACGUGGAUAACCUACCUAUAAGACUGGGAUAACUACGGGAAACAGGAGCUAAUACCGGAUAAUAUAUUGAACCGCAUCGUUCAAUAGUGAAAGACGGUUUUGCAGACACUUAUAGAUGGAUCCGCGCCGCAUUAGCUAGUUGGUAAGGUAACGGCUUAACAAGGCAACGAUGCGUAUCCGACCUGAGAGGGUGAUCGGCCACACGGGAACUGAGACACGGUCCAGACUCCUACGGUAGGACGCAGUCGGGAAUCUUCCGCGAUGGGCGAAAGCCUGACGGAGCAACGCCGCGUGAGUGAUGAAGGUCUUCGGAUCGUAAAACUCUGUUAUUAGGGAAGAACAAAUGUGUAAGUAACUAUGCACGUCUUGACGGUACCUAAUCAGAAAGCCACGGCUAACUACGUG
rnacentral:rRNA from 1 species